AAAGAGAUUGCCAACCAUGUGUUUUAUUGGCGUCACCUUACUACUUUGAUUGGUAGGGUUCGAUGCUGAUAACGGUAUACUCUUUGUAUAUAAUUCGUUGUGAUACAUGGGAGAUUGAAUUAAGGAAGAUGUAUCUCCAGCUGAUGAAAUGUAGGGAGGCCUUUUUUGCUUUUCUGCGCCAAAAUCUGAUUCAGUUGGUCAUAAUUCUGGCUACAUAU
rnacentral:snoRNA from 1 species